rnacentral:lncRNA from 1 species
CCAUUCAUGGGAAUUUGUCAUUACUGGCAAAUCUGAAAUAUUGGUGGAUAUAGAGUGUAUUGAAGACCUCUAAAGAUAAGACGGAGGCGUUCCCAUGUCACGGGCAGUGAACACCAAGACCAUGUAAGGCCCUUGAGAGGGAACCAGCUUCAGUUGUCUUCAGUUUUAGGAAGAUGUCACCCACAAUGUGAAUAACUUCAUCCUGCUGUGAAUGUUGACCACCAAAGGGAAAAAUAUUCCCAUGAGAGUUCAAAGGAUGCGAACAGACUUCUGCAAAUGCUAGGAGAAAGAAUCCAAGAAGUUCCCAAAGAUGCAGAUGGAGAUGCUGGCAAACAGCAUUAGCACCAGCUAAGGUUGUUUUUGCCAACAAAGGAAAAGGAUGUGAAAGCGUGUAAUAUUUCAUCUUGCCAGAUAACACAAGAAUGAAUCAUACAAAACAGUUUUGAAAAGAUUCAUGCAGGCUCCUCUCCAAAGUUUCUGUAAGGUUCCCGCCAGGGAACGGACAGAGCGUUGACMACCUCGCAUCCCUACUGCUAAUGGCCAGUCCCCACUUACAGUGAAUGUACUGCGGAGGGGACUCCUCGGACCACUGUGAAAGAGUCAAGGAAUGAGCUAACACAGUGUGGACAUUCACUAGUCCAG